GGAUCGCCACAGUCCCACAGGCGGAGCAAAUAUUUGCAUUUGCAGUUUGGCUGCAAACUAGGAGCCAGCUCUGCUACAGCAUUUGCGUGAAUUACUCUAGCACAGUUGCAGAGCAUCACGUUCAUCUCUGACACUGCUGGAUGCCCAAAUUCAGAGGACCCCUCCUUCCCACAAUCCCCCUCGGAAUAGAUAUGCUGCUUCUUUGCGCCCUACAUGCAUCAAGUAGCGCCGGUCUGCCGGAACACAUCGCCAGGGAUUGCUCUGAAGCAAAGUGAGAGCAGAUAGAGGGAGAUGACCUCAAAAUGGAGCUCUUGCGUCCGUGGCCUCGUGUUCUCCGUCCUGCUGUUUCUUCUAGUCGCGCCGGCCGGAGCCCAGCAAGCACCAACCAGAAGCACAGAUCCAGUCGAAGUGAAGGCGCUGAACACGGUGUUUGACAAACUCGGGCUGAAGCUGUGGCCGGCAUGGUACAGCGGCGACCCGUGCGUCGGCGCGGCCACGAACGGCACCAACAUCGACAUUUACCAGGACUGGAACCCGGGCAUCAGGUGCGACUGCUCCGACCACGACAGCACCUUCUGCCACAUCGUCCAGCUGAAAAUGUUCAACUUGAAUGUAACCGGUCCUAUACCAGAAGCACUGAGGAACCUCACGCGAUUGACCAAUUUGAAUUUGCAACAAAAUUACUUAACAGGGCCUAUACCAUCGUUCCUUGGGGAAUUGACCAAGUUGCAGUACCUGAAUCUUUGCGGCAAUUCAUUAUCGGGAUCUGUUCCAAAGGAGCUUGGGAACCUUGUGAAUCUCAUAGUCCUGCGUUUAGCCACGAACAACUUAAAUGGCUCCCUUCCUUCUGAAUUGGGAAACCUGGUUAAACUUGAGGAACUGUAUAUUGAUAGUGCCGGCUUAAGUGGUCCUAUACCAUCAUCAUUUUCUAAGCUUACAAACAUGAAACUAUUGGUGGCAUCAGAUAAUGAAUUUACUGGACGACUACCAGAUUACAUCGGGAGGUGGAGUAAUUUACAAGUUUUGAGAUUUCAAGGAAACUCGUUUCAAGGUCCACUUCCAGCCACUCUUUCUAAUCUUGUCAACCUAACAGACUUGUAAGUGAACACUGAUCGAUGGCUAGGCUAGCAAACUUUCAUUUUUAAAUAUAUCAAGCUUACAGAAGGGAAGGAUCAAUUAUCGAUUUUUGUGGUGCAGACGAAUAGGUGAUAUACUAAGUGGGAGCUCUUCCCUGGCAUUCAUUAGUAACAUGACAUCUUUGAACACCCUGUAUGCAAAACUUGCUGUUCACUUAAUGACUCUAACUACAAAUUAAUGUUAAUAUAGUGUGACAAAAAUUUUAAACCCUAAAACUCAUGACUUCUUUCAUUUUAGAAUUUUGAGGAAUUGCAGGGUAUCUGAUAGUCUGGCAUCAGUAAAUUUUUCACGAUUUGCAAGAUUAAAUUUAAUGGAUUUGAGUUUUAACAAUAUCACAGGCCAAGUGCCACAAGCCCUACUGAAUCUCAAUUCGCUCAACUUCUUGUACAAAUUUUCUUGCCUUUGAAUGCAUUUUUUCUAGGAACUGGAGACAUUAUGUAUUUUUUUUCUUUAUAGAACUAGAGGUAUUCAUUAUUUAUCUUGCUAAAUGCUAAUGCUAGAAAAUUUGUUCCAAUCAGAUUUCUGGGGAAUAAUAGCCUUUCAGGAAGCCUUCCAAGCUCUAAAGGACCUAAUCUCAAAUACUUAGACUUUUCUUACAACCAGCUCUCAGGAAGCUUUCCUUCUUGGGCUAGUCAGAAUCUGCAAUUGGAUCUGGUGGCAAACAAUUUCGUGAUUAAUAACAGCAGUAACAGUGUCUUACCUUCGGGGCUGGAGUGUCUUCAGCGAAAUACAUCCUGUUUUCUUGGCCCUCCACUGUCUACCUCCUUUGCUGUGGACUGCGGGAGCAAUAGAUCUAUAUCUGGUUCAGAUAAUUCCAUGUAUCAGCCUGAUGAUGUCAACAUUAUUGGACCUGCAUCAUAUUAUGUUACAGGAGCCCGAACAUGGGGUGUCAGCAAUGUCGGGAAGUUCAUGGAUGCAUCAAAUAGUAGCUACAUAAUCUAUAGCUCACGCAAGUUUCAGAGUACUUCAGAUUCAGAACUGUUUCAGACAGCAAGGACGUCGCCAUCUUCCUUGAGAUACUACGGUGUUGGACUUGAGAAUGGAAACUAUGCAGUCACACUUCAAUUUGCAGAGUUUGCCUUCGAAGACUCAAAGACUUGGACGAGUUUAGGUAGGAGGGUUUUUGAUAUCUAUGUCCAGGGUGAGCUUAAGGAGCAGGAUUUUGACAUAAGGAAGGAAGCAGGCGGGAAAUCUUACACUGUUGUCAAGAAGCAGUAUAUCGUUCCAGUCACUAGAAACUUCCUUGAGGUUCAUCUCUUCUGGGCUGGCAAGGGAACAUGCUGCAUACCAAGUCAAGGCCACUAUGGGCCUGCAAUCUCAGCUUUGAGUGCAACUCUAAGUAUUCUCUUCAACUACAAAAUCAAAGUUCCUACUACGAGAGCUACUAAAGAUUACACCUAGUGCUACACCGGAGAAGAGUACUAAAACUGGUGUAAUUGUUGGAGCCGUGGUUGGUGUGGUAGUUUUCGGGCUAGUUGUACUUGCUGGACUCUAUGUGUGCAAGCAAAAAAGGAGAAAAGUAAGAUCGGAGCAGCAAGAGCUCUACAGUAUUGUUGGAAAACCUAAUAUAUUCAGUUACAGUUAUGGUGAACUAAGGAGCGCCACUGAAAAUUUUAGCUCCAGUAACCUUCUUGGUGAAGGAGGAUAUGGGUCAGUUUAUAAGGGUAAACUAAGUAAUGGCAGCGUGGUGGCAGUGAAGCAGCUAUCUGAAACAUCUCGCCAGGGAAAGAAGCAAUUCAUAGCCGAAAUAGAAACCAUUUCCCAAGUGCAACACCGCAAUCUCGUGAAGUUGUAUGGUUGCUGCCUUGAGGGUGACAAACCACUACUGGUUUAUGAGUACCUGGAGAAUGGAAGCCUUGAUAAAGCAUUGUUCGGAAAUGGAGGAUUAAACCUAGAUUGGCCAACACGGUACGAAAUAUGCUUGGGUAUUGCAAGAGGCCUGGCUUAUCUCCAUGAAGAGUCUAGCGUCCGAGUUGUGCAUAGGGACAUAAAGGCUAGCAAUGUCUUACUGGAUGCCAAUCUCAACCCUAAGAUCUCAGAUUUCGGGCUCGCCAAACUUUGUGAUGACAAGAAAACACAUGUCAGUACAAAAGUUGCUGGUACAUUUGGCUAUCUGGCACCUGAGUAUGCCAUGAGAGGUCAUAUGUCAGAGAAAGUUGAUGUUUUUGCUUUUGGUGUGGUCAUGUUGGAGAUUAUAAGUGGAAGGCCAAACUACGACGAUAGGCUUGAUGAAGACACGGCUUAUCUUUUAGAAUGGGUCUGGCAGCUUUAUGAGGAAGACCAUCCCCUCGACGCUGCGGACCCCAGGCUCACGGAAUUCAACAGCGACGAGGUGCUCCGUGCCAUCCGCGUUGCCCUCCUGUGCAUCCAGAGCUCACCCAGGCAGCGGCCGACCUUGUCGAGGGUGGCGUCGAUGCUCGCCGGGGACGUCGAGCUGGCCGAGGCGAUCACGAAGCCCAGCUACGUCAUCGAGUGGCAGAUGAACUCGUCUAUGGGGCAGUCGUCGUCGACCUCCGGGGGCAGGGACGCCACCACCAAGUCCUCGUCGCCUUUCCUGAGCUCCGUCACCGACGGCCGGUGACGGCCAUCAUCAAAAGUUCAGAUCAGCUUCUGUCAAAGCCACGGCGACUAUUUGUCCUAGCUGAAUUCACUUUAAAACGGUCGUCGGUUAUUAAUUUUGGGUGCUUGUAAGAAUUGUAAAUUCACUCCAAUCCAAGAACUGUAAAAGAUUUGCAAUUGACUGGACCGGACACAGUGCCAUGGCCACACCUACCUCGAACUCAAAAGCCGUCAAUGUUGAACGA